AUCCAGCUGACGAGUCCCAAGUAGGACGAAGUGGGGCACGUCAUGGAU
rnacentral:hammerhead_ribozyme from 1 species